AACGAACGCUGGCGGCAGGCUUAACACAUGCAAGUCGAACGCAUCCUUCGGGGUGAGUGGCAGACGGGUGAGUAACGCGUGGGAACGUGCCCUUCAGUUCGGGAUAACCCAGAGAAACUUGGGCUAAUACCGGAUACGUGCGAGAGCAGAAAGAUUUAUCGCUGAAGGAUCGGCCCGCGUCUGAUUAGCUAGUUGGUGGGGUAAUGGCCCACCAAGGCGACGAUCAGUAGCUGGUCUGAGAGGAUGAUCAGCCACAUUGGGACUGAGACACGGCCCAAACUCCUACGGGAGGCAGCAGUGGGGAAUAUUGGACAAUGGGCGCAAGCCUGAUCCAGCCAUGCCGCGUGAGUGAUGAAGGCCUUAGGGUUGUAAAGCUCUUUCGUCCGGGACGAUAAUGACGGUACCGGAAGAAGAAGCCCCGGCUAACUUCGUGCCAGCCGCCACAGUAA
rnacentral:rRNA from 1 species